rnacentral:rRNA from 1 species
ACAUACGACCAUAGCCUGUGGAAAGUACGGGGUCCCGUCUGCUCCCCCCUAGUCAAGCCACAGAGCGCCGAACCAGUAGUAUGGUGGGUGACCACAUGCGAAUCCUCGGUGUUGUAUGUA